ensembl:rRNA 5S_rRNA 5S ribosomal RNA
GCUUAUGGCCACACCGCCUGGUUCACGGCUGAUCUCGUUUGAUCUCGGAAGCUAAGAUAGGGUGGGCCUGGUUAGUACUUGGAUGGGGAGACCGCCUGGGAAUACCAGGUGCUUGUAAGAU